rnacentral:rRNA from 1 species
CCCUUAGAUGUUCUGGGCCGCACGCGCGCUACACUGAAUGGAUCAACGUGUUUUCCCUUCCCGAGAGGGACGGGUAACCCGCUGAACCCCAUUCGUGGUAGGGAUCGGAGCUUGCAAUUGUUCUCCGUGAACCAGGAAUUCCCAGUAAGCGCAAGUCAUAAGCUUGCGUUGAUUACGUCCCUGCCCUUUGUACACACCGCCCGUCGCACCUACCGAUUGAAUGGUCCGGUGAAGCCUCCGGAUUGGCGCGCACCUCGGUGCCGCCGAGAAGUUGGCUAAACCUUACCAUUUAGAGGAAGGUGAANUCGUANCA